CGGAACAUGAGGGGCUAGCGCCCCUGGCCGCUGGGUCUGGGGCUCGGGCGCUCAGGCAGUCCAGCAGCCUGAGUGGACCUGCAGUACAGACACAAAGCAAAGGCGGGUCACUAAUGCGCAGACGCCAAGCAUCUUCCUUGUCAUGGCCAGACUGUAGCGGCUGGGCGAGGGGCCUCGUGAAGGUUGAUUGAUGCCAGUAGCCAUCUAACUGCCAAUUAAUGCCGUGGUGGUGAUUCGACUGAACAAUCGCUGCCCUUGGACAUGGAGUUUCACUAGACUUAGAGAUAAUGAAUAAUUAUACUCUCUAAUAAACCAGUAAAGUUGCA